rnacentral:rRNA from 1 species
AACGAACGCUGGCGGCAGGCCUAACACAUGCAAGUCGAGCGCAUCGCAAGGUGAGCGGCGGACGGGUUAGUAACGCGUGGGAACGUGCCCUUUUCUUCGGAAUAGCUUCGGGAAACUGAAGGUAAUACCGGAUACGCCCUUAGGGGGAAAGAUUUAUCGGGGAAGGAUCGGCCCGCGUCUGAUUAGGUAGUUGGUGGGGUAAUGGCCUACCAAGCCUACGAUCAGUAGCUGGUUUGAGAGGAUGAUCAGCAACACUGGGACUGAGACACGGCCCAGACUCCUACGGGAGGCAGCAGUGGGGAAUUUUAGACAAUGGGGGCAACCCUGAUCUAGCCAUGCCGCGUGGAUGAUGAAGGCCUUAGGGUCGUAAAGUCCUUUCGCUGGGGAAGAUAAUGACGGUACCCAGUAAAGAAACCCCGGCUAACUCCGUGCCAGCCGCCGCGGUAAAAC